AAUACUUAUUUCAUUAUUGCUCUGUGUAUGUGUGACUGUGACCUUAAUCAUUUGAGGUUAUGUGUUGAUUUCACCUCUGAAUAUUUCCUCUUAUAGGUCCAUCAUCCUUGCAUGCGCUACACACUCAAAAGCAUUGAUAAAUGCUGAAUUUAAAAGAAUCACUACUGUCUUAUGUUCCUGCGUGUCACCUGGACCUCCAAUCCAAAAACCUGACGAAACUCUUCUAUCAGAAAGGAGGACAGCUAGCAAACAGACUUCAAACAAUGAAUGAUCAAAUGACAGAAGGCAUGAAUGAAGUCAGCAUCAGUGUGGUCAUUUGAAGACACCACUGUUGGGAUUUGUGCUCUCAAACAACAUGCUUCUUGUGAUGAAGAAGAGGAUCUUUGUAUAGUCCUGGAAGGCAUGAAGGUGUUGCAACAUCGUGCCAUGUUGUUUGAGCUGAUGUAUGCCUUAAACCUGAGCUAUCCUGAUCUCUGCUUUAUUUUUGAAGAAAUCCAAAAGAUUUAAAUGGAACUGCAUUGAGCGUAACUUUAAC